AGUGAACGCUGGCGGUAGGCCUAACACAUGCAAGUCGAACGGCAGCACAGUAAGAGCUUGCUCUUACGGGUGGCGAGUGGCGGACGGGUGAGGAAUACAUCGGCAUCUACUUUUUCGUGGGGGAUAACGUAGGGCCACUUACGCUAAUACCGCAUACGACCUACGGGUGAAAGCAGGAGUUCUUCGGGGUUUCGCGGUUACAUAUAGCGGUGCCGGAUUAGCUAGUUGGCGGGGUAAAGGCCCACCAAGGCGACGAUCCGUAGCUGGACUGAGAGGAUGAUCAGCCACACUGGAACUGAGACACGGUCCAGACUCCUACGGGAGGCAGCAGUGGGGAAUAUUGGACAAUGGGCGAAAGCCUGAUCCAGCCAUGCCGCGUGGGUGAAGAAGGCCUUCGGGUCGUAAAGCUCUUUUGUUGGGAAAGAACAGCUGUAUGUUAAUACACCGCUGUUCUGACGGUACCCAAAGAAUAAGCACCGGCUAACUUCGUG
rnacentral:rRNA from 1 species